rnacentral:rRNA from 1 species
CCUACGGGUGGCAGCAGUGGGGAAUAUUGCACAAUGGGGGAAACCCUGAUGCUGCGACGCCGCGUGAGUGAAUAAGUAUUUCGGUAUGUAAAGCUCUAUCAGCAGGGAAGAAAAUGACGGUACCUGAUCAAGAAGCCCCGGCUAACUACGUGCCAGCAGCCGCGGUAAUACGUAGGGGGCAAGCGGUAUCCGGAUUUACUGUGUGUAAAGGGAGCGUAGACGGCAGCACAAGUCUGGAGUGAAAUGCCGGGGCUGAACCCCGGAACUGCGUUGGAAACUGUGCAGCGAGAGUGCAGGAGAGGUAAGUGGAAUUCCUGGUGUAGCGGUGAAAUGCGUAGAUAGUAGGAGGAACACCAGUGGCGAAGGCGGAGUACUGGACGAUAACUGACGGUGAGGCGCGAAAGCGUGGGGAGCAAACAGGAUUAGAUACCCGUGUAGUC